CCCCACUCCCCAUCUCCUCGUGCUAACCCACCCACCACCUCCCUCCUGCGACUCUCUGACUCCCCCACCAUCCCACCAUGCCACCACCCCCUUCCCCAACCACCGCACCACCUCUCACCUGCGCCCUGCCCGGCCGGCGGCCUUCCUCACCUCGUCGGCGAGCAACCCCUCCCCUGGACACCUCCAACACGAGCUGGCGCCGGAUCCAGGCCGUGCUCACUUCGUCCCCCAUCAUUGGCGAAACCGUGCACUCCCCCAUUCCUCCUCUCUGAACGCACGUCCGUCUCCCUGGAGCAGUCCACACAGCAAAUGCGUGUGGCCGUCAUCGACUCGCCAUGCAGUGCACUUAUGUACUAUGAGGCGAGCUUCGUCGGGAUUAUGACAAAUUUUAUAGUUUGCUUCAAUUCCAGUCACCUCGAUGGAUCACCGUGUAGUUUAGUCGAUGCUCUCGUGCAGUGCAGAGCGCAUCUGCUUGCAGUCCCACUGGACAUGCAUGUCGUCUGCCUCUCACCCCGCACAUGCGUGUAGUACAUUUUUUUCAUGGAAAAGUUGGGCGACGCACACAACAUGGAAGUGUGAAAACUUAGCGAAACAAAAAGAUAGUAAUGUGGUUCACUUCAAUA